UUUCACAAAGGGACAUUUUACAACAGUGUGUUCAGAUGGUAGAGAAAUGACAAGGUAUAAUCCAGAAUGAUUGAAAGGAGGAGUUCCCAUAGAAUGUACAUAGACCUUGGUAUUACAUAGACUUGAGUUGGAAUCCACUUUCACAGUGUAAUACUUAGAAGAUUUCCUAACUCUCUGGGUUUCAGUUUCCUUACUGGUAAAGGGAGGAAAUCCAUCUACUUUUCAAGACUGUUAUGAAGAAUAAUGAAUCAUAACUUAAUGUCCAUAGACAUCUGGCUAAUGGAAGGGCUGGCAAAAUAAGUGAUUGUAUUAUCCAUGGGCUGGUGCAUGUCAAAUGACCCUUUUCACUAUGGUAGUGGGAAACUAAAAGAGGGGAAUGAUUAUGUAACAGAGCUUCCUAUGAAUGUUUGGAGAAGCAAUUUUUAUGUAGCUUGUUGUACUUCUUCCUUGCUUAGAAUUUUUUGCUCCUGGUUCUGUGACCUUAGGUAUCGGUAGAAAUGACUGACCUUGCAUGUUCCUAGAAGAGGUCACCAGGUCUGCCCUUUUCUGGUAAGCCAUUAGAGAUGCCAAAUCUCUCCUUGUCUCUCUUGUUUAUCACUUACAUCCCCAGCGCUUUGCAUGGUGCAUGACAUUGAGUAGGAGAUCAAUUAAUGCAAUCCCAGUAUAAAAAUUGGUGUUGAGACACCUUUGUUCUUGACACUGAAUAUAUUGCCAAUUUUGUUCCACAAGUUCAUCCUGUAUAAUUAAAAUUACACAAAUCUCCACUGCUUAUAACAUAGAGGAUUGUGUAAGGCUCGGAGUCUAUCUUUACUAGGUUUUAUACUUGCCAUCCAGGUUUCAAAUGUCUUAGCUAACUGCUAUAGCUGAUUAGAUAAAAAGUGUAACUGACCAAAAAAAAAAAAAAAAUAGCCAAUCCUUGGAGUGGCAAGAGGCUUAUGCAAUUGCUGCAGUGAAAGGAAGGAGGUGGGCAAUCGAUUUUCUAUGGAAUUUUAAUCUGCAACUAAGGAGAGAAUGUGUUUAACUAGGGGUUAAAAAUGAUGGACUCUACAGAGAUACCGGAGAGUGUGCCUAUGAGGAAGGUUUAGGACAAAUCAGAUUCAUGUGUGCAGCAGUCUCCCAAGAGAGGAAGGCCACACAUUCCAACUUAUCAAUAGAGGCCAGGGGGCAUAGCUGGUGCUUGAGGGCUUUCUUGUUUUGGUGGCAAUCUGUCGUAUUUUUCUAUAAGAACUAUAUUUUUCUUAAGAUAACUUGGAGUGUGUCUCUGUUUCUUGCAACCAAAAGAUUCUAAGUAGAAUCCUGGUCCAAUUCCUGCAUUUUCCAAGUGAAAAGACCAAUUCUUGAGAACAUGAUACAAUACAAGGUUGAUGGCGACUUUUCCAGGAUAUGAUGAUGGUUUCCACAGACAGCUGCGACAAUAUCUCCUAAUCAGCAUGCCCUUCUGCAACGUGAUCUUGCCACUUCUUCAUUUAGAGGCAGAGUGUAUGUCUCCUCUCCCUUGAAUCUAGGCAGACUCUGAGUGCUUUGACCAAGAGAAUAUAGCACAAGUGACAUUGUGCCAGUUCUGGGCAUUGUUCUUAACUGGCAUGGAAGCAGUAGUUACUGCUUCCUCUCUCUUAGAAGCCAGCAUCAUAAAAGAAGCAUGCCUUCCUUGAGACCACAGAAACCCCAGGCACAUGGAGACUCCCUGGAUGACGAGAUGCUGCAUGGAAAGACAGACCAAGAGAAAGAAAGAGAGAAGAAGAGAGG
rnacentral:lncRNA from 10 species